GCUGGCGGCGUGCUUAACACAUGCAAGUCGAACGUGAAGCCCGAUGCUUGCAUUGGGUGGAAAGUGGCGGACGGGUGCGUAACACGUUGGUGACCUACCUCGAGGAGGGGGACAACCCUGGGAAACCAGGGCUAAUACCCCGGAUGUCAAGGAGUUUAGACGCCCUUGACUAAAGCUUCGGCGCCUUGAGAUGGGCCUGCGGGCUUCAGCUUGUUGGUGGGGUAAUGGCUUACCAAGGCUAAGACGGCUAGGGGGCGUGAGAGCGCGACCCCCCACAAUGGAACUGAGACACGGUCCAUACUCCUACGGGAGGCAGCAGUGAGGAAUAUUGCGCAAUGGGGGCAACCCUGACGCAGCAACGCCGCGUGGACGAAGAAGGCCUUCGGGUUGUAAAGUCCUUUUCUGAGGGGCGAUAAUGACGGUACCUCAGGAAUAAGUCCCGGCUAACUACGUGCCAGCAGCCGCGGUAAAACGUAGGGGGCGAGCGUUAUCCGGAAUUACUGGGCGUAAAGCGCACGUAGGUGGCGCUACAAGUUGGAUGUGAAAGCUCCCGGCUUAACUGGGAGAGGUCAUUCAAAACUGUAGUGCUCGAGGCUGAAAGAGGA
rnacentral:rRNA from 1 species